rnacentral:rRNA from 1 species
UGAGGAAUAUUGGUCAAUGGACGAGAGUCUGAACCAGCCAAGUAGCGUGAAGGAUGACUGCCCUAUGGGUUGUAAACUUCUUUUAUAUGGGAAUAAAGUGGGGCACGUGUGCCUUUUUGUAUGUACCGUAUGAAUAAGGAUCGGCUAA